GAAGAAGCGCUAGAAGAAGAUGUAAUCGCCGCUAAACAACAGGAGACAAUGUAUCAGCGGAGAUUGAGACGACGUAUUAAACAGAGGGGGCAUGCAGGCUGGAUGUUUGACUGUGGCACGAGUGAUGAACAUUGAGAAAGGUGAAUCCAGGCGGUGGUAUACAGCCAAGCCUGGCUGCAACAUAGGGUGUAACCACUGUUUUCCUCAAGUGUAAGGCUGGCACAAGGAUGUCUACACCCAAAAGGCGCCAUUUCUGGUUGAAGGCAAAGAACUCUGCAAGAAUCAACGUCAUAGAACUCUCUCACAAAAGCUGAAAUCUACACCUGAAUAUCACCACAUGUGAUAAAUUGCAAAUCACCUUUGCAUUGUUUUACAAAGCUGAAAUCUUCUCCUGAAUAUCACCACAGUAUGAUAAAUUGCAAGUCACCUUGCUGCCCCCUCUUCUCUCUCCCCCUUCUCCCCUUCAACAGCUCAGGACCAAUACAAAGACACAAGAUUUAUAUGUAAAAAUAUAACAAAUACCAUGAAAACAAAGAAUGCAACUGUAUGUGUUUGAUAUCAUUUAAGAGGUCUCUGUGCGACUGGUAUAGUGGUCUCUUUCCCAUGUUGAUAAAUCUAAUGGUGAAAAAGUUAUAAGGUCUUUGCCAAAUACUGCAUAAUUCUGGAGGUCUGUCCCCCUCAUUGACCUACAAUUUAAAUUAUCUCUUGUAUAUUAACAAGGUUAAACCCCAGGAAGUCAAGAUCCAUUCACCCCCAAAUUCUCAUUGUUCAAAGGAUAAUACCAUUUGGUACACAAUGUUUAUUCUGUCUGGGUAUUUAAGGAAAGUUGGCAAGAAGCUCGGGGAGUCUGUAUUCAGAUCUCCCAUACUGUUGCUGUAUGUAGUUCUAUUUGCCAAGUAUGUUUCUCUGACUUAUAUCUUAUUUUUAGGGAUGUUUGUUUAUUCUGAUCAUAUGUGA